GGUUCAAUGGUCUAGUGGUCAUGAUUUCUGUCUCACAUUGCAUGCGUAUGUUCACAGAAGGUCUCCAGUUCGAUCCUGGAUUGAACCA